CGCCCCCGGCGCGCGGGCAUUUGGGAGACACCUAGUUGUGGGCGCCUGCGAGUUGCGUGGUGUGGCCGGCGCCCGGGGGCGAGCGGGACUGGUUGGGCGGCGGGAGCCGGUGAGUGCGGGCCCGCAGGGCACUGGGCGUCCUCCUCGCAGCUCCAGGCGGUGCCGGGGCGCCGCGGCGGCGAACCCGGGCUGGGAGCGGCUGCCGCCGAGCUUAAGUGUCCGCUCGCGCCCGACUGCUUUUCAGUGUGGACCCGGAAUCCUCAAAAGAAGAAGGGAGUGGUGAAGAGGGGAAGGUGGAGAUGAGGGUUUAUUUUUUCUUUUCCCCAAUGUGGGAAGAAAUGAAAGACGUUCGUUGUACUUGCUCAGCAAACAAGCACGUGACCCAAGUCUUUAUUCGGGCUUCGUAGCAGUCAUCAAGCUGAAUGUUUCCCCUCCAGUGAAAGCAAGCGGGAGUGGCAGGAGGAGGGACUUGGAAAAAGAUCGAGGAGCGGAAGGAGGUGUCAGCAUCUUCUCUCCUGCUUACGACCGUUGCGAUACGUCAUCACUGACCUGGAGAAAUUCACCCCAGCCGAGAGUACAGGGCAGAGUUCCCGAUGUCACUGGGCACCCAGCCCUAAGGAGCUCUGUGAUUCAUCGCAGAUCCGGAAGGAUGGCUAAAAUCCACAGUCGUAGUACAGUAGUUGCUGAAGUGCUCACAUUGGACUUAUGUCUGGGAAAAACUACUUUGGCUGACUGUCUUAUAUCUAGCAAUGGAAUAUUCUCCAGCCGCCUGGCAGGCAAGUUGAGGUACAUGGACAGCAGAGAAGACAAACAGGUCCGAGGGAUCACUAUGAAAUCCAGUGCCAUCUCCCUGCAUUAUGCGGAAGGUGAUGAGGAGUACCUGAUUAACCUAAUAGACUCUCCAGGCCACGUGGGUUUCUCCUCAGAAGUGUCCACGGCUGUUCACAUCUGUGACGGGUGCAUCGUCAUAGUAGACGCUGUGGAAGGCAUCUGCCCGCAGAAUUGAGCACUUUGCCAAAAUCUACAGUCAAAAAACUUGCAUCAGAAAGGAAGUUCUUUUGGAAGCAUUGUGGGGAGAUUACUAUAUAAAUAUGAAGGCUAAGAAGAUUGUGAAGGUAGAUCAGGCAAAAGGAAAGAAAUCUUUAUUUGUACAGUUGAUCCUGGAAAAUAUAUGGAGUUUGUAUGAGGCUGUCUUGAAAAAGUUUUUGUAAAUCUUGAUGCUGCAGUUUGGGGCACUGAUUAGACUAUUAUUACCCAGAGAAGGCAAUGGCACCCCACUCCAGUACUCUUGCCUGGAAAAAUCCCAUGGACAUAGGAGCCUGGUAGGCUGAGUCCGUGGGGUCGCUAAGACUCCAACACUACUGAGCGACUUCACUUUCACUUUUCACUUGCUUGCAUCGGAGAAGGAAAUAGCAACCCGCUCGACUGUACUUCCCUGGAGAAUCGAAGGGAGUGUGGAGCUUGAUGGCCUGCCGUCUAUGGAGUGGGACAGACUCGAACAUGACUUAAGCGACUUAGCAACAGCAGCAGCUGAGUAUUACCAAAGAGAAAUUGGGGUUAAUCAGAUUUUUAACACUUGUUUGUGUCUCACAUUACUGCCGUGAUAGGAACAUGAUAUGUUCCUUAUCCUAAAGUCUACAUUUUCAUAUGGAAAUGACGUAGAUAAUUUUUAACCUUCAUAAGCAUGUACAUUUAUUAUGAAGGUUUUUUUAUUCUACUGUGCUCUCCAGAUUUUUGUUUUAUUUUUCCGAUUCCUUAGCUAAACUCACUUCUGAAAUGUUAAAAUGUUUACUUCUACUUCCUUUUUAAAAAAGUAUAAUUGCUUUCCAAUGCAGUCACA